GAUGAACGCUAGCGGCAGGCCUAAUACAUGCAAGUCGAACGAGAUUAAGAGGCUUGCUUCUUAUGAAAGUGGCGCACGGGUGCGUAACGCGUAUGCAACCUACCUUAAUCAGGGGGAUAGCCCGAAGAAAUUCGGAUUAAGACCGCAUAAAAACACAGGAUAGCAUUAUCCAAUGUUCAAAUAUUUAUAGGAUUAAGAUGGGCAUGCGUGUCAUUAGCUAGUUGGCGGGGUAACGGCCCACCAAGGCGACGAUAACUAGGGGAUCUGAGAGGAUGACCCCCCACACUGGUACUGAGACACGGACCAGACUCCUACGGGAGGCAGCAGUAAGGAAUAUUGGUCAAUGGAGGGAACUCUGAACCAGCCAUGCCGCGUGCAGGAAGACAGCCCUCUGGGUCGUAAACUGCUUUUAUUCGGGAAUAAACCUUUCUACGUGUAGGAAGCUGAAUGUACCGAAGGAAUAAGGAUCGGCUAACUCCGUG
rnacentral:rRNA from 1 species